rnacentral:rRNA from 1 species
UACGGGGGGGGCAAGCGUUGUUCGGAAUUACUGGGCGUAAAGGGCUCGUAGGCGGCCAACUAAGUCCGACGUGAAAUCCCCAGGCUUAACCUGGGAACUGCGUCGGAUACUGGAUGGCUUGAAUUCGGGAGAGGGAUGUGGAAUUCCAGGUGUAGCGGUGAAAUGCGUAGAUAUCUGGAGGAACACCGGUGGCGAAGGCGGGUCUCUGGGCCGUAACUGACGCUGAGGAGCGAAAGCAUGGGGAGCGAACAGG